rnacentral:rRNA from 1 species
AUGAACGCUGGCGGCGUGCCUAAUACAUGCAAGUCGAACGCUUCACAUAUGUGAAGAGUGGCGAACGGGUGAGUAAUACAUAAGUAACCUGGCCUUUACAGGGGGAUAACUGUUGGAAACGAUAGCUAAGACCGCAUAGGUGUCAUAACCGCAUGGAGAUGAUAUGAAAUAUGCUACGGCAUAGGUAGAGGAUGGACUUAUGGCGCAUUAGCUAGUUGGAGGGGUAACGGCCCACCAAGGCGACGAUGCGUAGCCGACCUGAGAGGGUGACCGGCCACACUGGGACUGAGACACGGCCCAGACUCCUACGGGAGGCAGCAGUAGGGAAUUUUCGGCAAUGGGGGAAACCCUGACCGAGCAACGCCGCGUGAAGGAAGAAGUAAUUCGUUAUGUAAACUUCUGUCAUAGAGGAAGAACGGUGCGUGUAGGGAAUGACAUGCAAGUGACGGUACUCUAUAAGAAAGCCACGGCUAACUACGUGCCAGCAGCCGCGGUAAUACGUAGGUGGCGAGCGUUAUCCGGAAUUAUUGGGCGUAAAGAGGGAGCAGGCGGCACUAAGGGUCUGUGGUGAAAGAUCGAAGCUUAACUUCGGUAAGCCAUGGAAACCGUAGAGCUAGAGUGUGUGAGAGGAUCGUGGAAUUCCAUGUGUAGCGGUGAAAUGCGUAGAUAUAUGGAGGAACACCAGUGGCGAAGGCGACGAUCUGGCGCAUAACUGACGCUCAGUCCCGAAAGCGUGGGGAGCAAAUAGGAUUAGAUACCCUAGUAGUCCACGCCGUAAACGAUGAGUACUAAGUGUUGGGAGUCAAAUCUCAGUGCUGCAGUUAACGCAAUAAGUACUCCGCCUGAGUAGUACGUUCGCAAGAAUGAAACUCAAAGGAAUUGACGGGGGCCCGCACAAGCGGUGGAGCAUGUGGUUUAAUUCGAAGCAACGCGAAGAACCUUACCAGGUCUUGACAUCCUUUGACCACUCUAGAGAUAGAGCUUCCCCUUCGGGGGCAAAGUGACAGGUGGUGCAUGGUUGUCGUCAGCUCGUGUCGUGAGAUGUUGGGUUAAGUCCCGCAACGAGCGCAACCCUUAUGGUCAGUUACUACGAAAGAGGACUCUGGCCAGACUGCCGUUGACAAAACGGAGGAAGGUGGGGAUGACGUCAAAUCAUCAUGCCCCUUAUGACCUGGGCUACACACGUGCUACAAUGGACAGAGCAGAGGGAAGCGAAGCCGCGAGGUGGAGCGAAACCCAGAAAACUGUUCUCAGUUCGGACUGCAGUCUGCAACUCGACUGCACGAAGUUGGAAUCGCUAGUAAUCGCGAAUCAGAAUGUCGCGGUGAAUACGUUCUCGGGCCUUGUACACACCGCCCGUCACACCAUGAGAGUCGGUAACACCCGAAGCCGGUGGCCUAACCGCAAGGAAGGAGCUGUCUAAGGUGGGACUGAUGAUUGGGGUG